rnacentral:rRNA from 1 species
AGAGUUUGAUCAUGGCUCAGGACGAACGCUGGCGGCGUGCCUAAUACAUGCAAGUCGAGCGAAUUCAUUCCUUCGGGAAUGAGUUAGCGGCGGACGGGUGAGUAACACGUAGGUAACCUGCCUGUAAGACUGGGAUAACUAUCGGAAACGAUAGCUAAGACCGGAUAAUUGAUCUUACCGCAUGGAGAGAUCAUGAAACGCGGAGCAAUCUGUGGCUUACGGAUGGGCCUGCGGCGCAUUAGCUAGUAGGUGAGGUAAUGGCUCACCUAGGCGACGAUGCGUAGCCGACCUGAGAGGGUGAACGGCCACACUGGGACUGAGACACGGCCCAGACUCCUACGGGAGGCAGCAGUAGGGAAUCCUCCGCAAUGGACGCAAGUCUGACGGAGCAACGCCGCGUGAGUGAUGAAGGUUUUCGGAUCGUAAAGCUCUGUUGCCCUAGACGAAAAGUGAGGGGAGUAACUGCCCUUCAUGUGACGGUAUAGGAGAAGAAAGCCCCGGCUAACUACGUGCCUGCAGCCGCGGUAAUACGUAGGGGGCAAGCGUUGUCCGGAAUUAUUGGGCGUAAAGCGCGCGCAGGCGGUUCAUUAAGUUGGGUGUUUAAUCCCGGGGCUCAACCCCGGUUCGCAUCCGAAACUGGUGAACUUGAGUGUAGGAGAGGAAAGUGGAAUUCCACGUGUAGCGGUGAAAUGCGUAGAGAUGUGGAGGAACACCAGUGGCGAAGGCGACUUUCUGGCCUAUAACUGACGCUGAGGCGCGAAAGCGUGGGGAGCAAACAGGAUUAGAUACCCUAGUAGUCC